rnacentral:rRNA from 1 species
UUCCGGUUGAUCCUGCCGGAGGUUACCGCUCUGGGAGUCGGAUUAAGCCAUGCUAGCGGAGGGCAGUUCGGCUGCCCCGUGGAUAGCUCAGUAACACGUGGUCAAUCUCCCCUUGGGACGGAGAUAACCCCGGGAAACUGGGGAUAAUACCCGACAGACGGGGAUUCUGGAAAGUCCCUCGUCGAAAUGCUACGGCGCCCAAGGAUGCGACUGCGGCCUAUUAGGUAGUUGGUGAGGUAAAGGCUCACCAAGCCAAAGAUGGGUACGGGCCCUGAGAGGGGGAGCCCGGAGAUGGGGACUGAGACAAGGCCCCAGGCCCUACGGGGCGCAGCAGGUGCGAAAAUUUCGCAAUGCGUGCAAGCGUGACGAAGCGACUCCCAGUGCCGAUGGUCUAACGACCGUCGGCUUUUCUGAAGCGUAAAAAGCUUCAGGUAAUAAGGGCCGGGUAAGACUGGUGCCAGCCGCCGCGGU